rnacentral:rRNA from 1 species
AUGAACGCUGGCGGCGUGCCUAAUACAUGCAAGUCGAGCGAACAGACGAGGAGCUUUCUCCUCUGACGUUAGCGGCGGACGGGUGAGUAACACGUGGAUAACCUACCUAUAAGACUGGGAUAACUUCGGGAAACCGGAGCUAAUACCGGAUAAUAUAUUGAAUCGCAUGGUUCAAUAGUGAAAGACGGUUUUGCUGUUACUUAUAGAUGGAUCCGCGCCGCAUUAGCUAGUUGGUAAGGUAACGGCUUAGCAAGGCGGCGAUGCGUAGCCGACCUGAGAGGGUGAUCGGCCACACUGGAGCUGAGACACGGUCCAGACUCCUACGGGAGGCAGCAGUAGGGAAUCUUCCGCAAUGGGCGAAAGCCUGACGGAGCAACGCCGCGUGAGUGAUGAAGGUCUUCGGAUCGUAAAACUCUGUUAUUAGGGAAGAACAAAUGUGUAAGUAACUAUGCACGUCUUGACGGUACCUAAUCAGAAAGCCACGGCUAACUACGUG